GCAGGAGAGAGCUCAGGGGUUAAAGCACCAACUACUCUUCAGAGGACCUGGGUUCAAUUCCCAGCAGCUGCA
rnacentral:tRNA from 1 species